UGUUAGCGGCGGACGGGUGAGUAACACGUGGGUAACCUGCCUGUAAGACUGGGAUAACUCCGGGAAACCGGGGCUAAUACCGGAUGCUUGUUUGAACCGCAUGGUUCAAACAUAAAAGGUGGCUUCGGCUACCACUUACAGAUGGACCCGCGGCGCAUUAGCUAGUUGGUGAGGUAACGGCUCACCAAGGCAACGAUGCGUAGCCGACCUGAGAGGGUGAUCGGCCACACUGGGACUGAGACACGGCCCAGACUCCUACGGGAGGCAGCAGUAGGGAAUCUUCCGCAAUGGACGAAAGUCUGACGGAGCAACGCCGCGUGAGUGAUGAAGGUUUUCGGAUCGUAAAGCUCUGUUGUUAGGGAAGAACAAGUACCGUUCGAAUAGGGCGGUACCUUGACGGUACCUAACCAGAAAGCCACGGCUAACUACGUGCCAGCAGCCGCGGUAAUACGUAGGUGGCAAGCGUUGUCCGGAAUUAUUGGGCGUAAAGGGCUCGCAGGCGGUUUCUUAAGUCUGAUGUGAAAGCCCCCGGCUCAACCGGGGAGGGUCAUUGGAAACUGGGGAACUUGAGUGCAGAAGAGGAGAGUGGAUUCCACGUGUAGCGGUGAAAUGCGUAGAGAUGUGCAGGAACACCUUUGGCGAAAGCGACUCUCUGGUCUG
rnacentral:rRNA from 1 species